rnacentral:lncRNA from 1 species
UGCUUCAGACCAACCAGAAAAUUGCGAUCCUCGUAAUGCCUGAUGAGGCGCGGGGCAGUAGCCCGAGAGCUUGGUAUCCAUUACUAUGAGACAAGUGUCCUUACCUAUUUUGGUGUCAAUGAAGUUUUUGAAAACGCCAUAAGAGCCGCUCUAAUUGCCCGGCGACAACAGCGCUUCUGGAUGACAAAUUUGAAAGAAAGUUCAACGUCCUAUUUUACAGGCUCCAUAUUGUCCUCCAAAACCGUUGUUACCGGAAAUAUUCGUGCAAGACUCUGUAUUUGAAGAUAACUUAGUUGAGCUUUACAAACAAACAAGCCUACACUGACGUAGUUUUGUCACUGGAUCAGUCGGUUUCACAGCACACACCGUUUUUUAUACUCUCUGCAGCCUCUCCGUCUUUACAUCGGCUAUUACUCUUGAAUGAUAAUGCAGGCAGUGAGGUUGGGGCGCAGUGCCAGCGAAUCAAGUAUGGUUAGUGCAAUCAUGACAGCAGUAAUUUACACUUUAUCAUAUUCCUCCAGAUACUGAAGUGUAGCAACAGACAUAAAAUUUUUUCAAUGAACCUGAGAGUUAAGAGCCCUGCUUUUGGCAUAUUAUUCUAUUUAGCACAGGUUUCAAGUAUAAUAAGAGAAGAUGCAGAAAGCGACUGUAAAAAUGUAAUUUUUCAACUCAAUAGAAACUUUCGGAAACUGGCUUAAAACCUGGAAGGUCGAAAAGCUGUUAUUAUAUUCGAAACUUUAUAGCCAUCUCCCAAUAAUUCAUCUUCAUCCUGUAAAUGUUCAUAUUUUGUGGCCGACAAAUUCACUCUCUUGUGAUUGCUCAUCAAUAUUUUUUUCUUUCUUUCUUUCAGGUUUCAUCAUUUGGAGAGACAACACAAGGCGAUUUCAAUGAAGACACCGAACACCUCAUACGAACAGACAAACAUUCAAAAUUAUGGAAGCAGUUGAAAAGGAGAUCCAGCUGUCAAGUUUUAUCGUCAAGUAGUUCUGCUUCAGCAGAUCAUUGUAAAAAUUUAACAAAGACUUAUCCCACCCAGCCUUUACAUCUAUUAAAAUUCAGCAAUGCGAAGGCUCAGAUCAUGGUGGGCAUGCAGUUACGUCCGUUCAAACUAUCAUAACCUUAAGCAAACUAGUAACUUCGCAAGCCAUGCAGCACUGUCUCCAGUUUCUCUACACGGGCUCUUUCGAUACCCGACUACCAGUCAGCACAUUACAGGUCAGUUUCUUGAAACUUCAUUUUUCAAUAGUUUUCUAUUUUGGUGAUGAUUUGUAGAAUAAAGAACCUUAUAUGCAGACUUUAAUGUUGUGAUGCGGCUCUCUUCUGAGCAUGAGAUACGAUAGAAAGAGAGGGGAGAGAGAAGGUACGAGUGCGCAGGUGCGACUACAUAGAGAGGGGGAAGGGAGAUGCAUUGCGGGCCAGCUUACAAGUGGUGCGGCAGCAGUUUACUCUUGAAAGGACCUGCUGACGAGAGAGAUCUCAGUAUACAUUUCAUUCAUCAUCAUUUUUCGGACAGCCAGCUGAUUUGGGUAGUAGGUUUGUAGAGCCUAAAUCUGCCUUUCAUCGAUAUUUUCCC